rfam:Ixodes scapularis strain Wikel colony gcontig_1107729186584, whole genome shotgun sequence.
GCCCUUCUAGCUCAAUCUGUAAAGCUCGAGACUCUUAAUCUUGGGAUCGUGGGUUCGGGCCCUACGUAGGGUG